GGGGCUGAAUUUUAAGCUCGACGUUGGUACCUUUCGGUCAUGAAUGCAGGUCGCUUGUCAGCGUUAUAGGCAAACCAGAAUAGAUGCAAAAACAUCAUUCAUGGAAAGACUAGCUAGCGUGUUCGCACCUAAGCUUGCUUUCCAAACAGCCUAAUUAAUUUUAGGCAACGCCUUUGACGAUUUCAGAUAGCCAAAGUAGCGUUAUAUAUAUCUGGACAACUCACUUGAGUUUAUCCAGCUCAGGUGCUAAGACUAGGAUUGCUCAUUCGGUUUGUUUGUCUGUUUUUAAACCCGAAUGUUAAGACAUUAAAAUAGACUAUACCUGUAGUAUUCUGACUGAAAAUCUAGCGGACCGGAGGCAGUAUCCGGCAGCUCCACCA
rnacentral:tmRNA from 1 species